AACGAACGCUGGCGGCAGGCCUAACACAUGCAAGUCGAGCGAGAACUUCGGGUCUAGCGGCGGACGGGGGGGUAACGCGGGGGAAGAUGCCCUUCUCUGCGGAAUAGCCUCGGGAAACUGAGCGUAAUACCGCAUACGCCCUUAGGGGGAAAGAUUUAUCGGAGAAGGAUUAGCCCGCGUUGGAUUAGGUAGUUGGUGGGGUAACGGCCUACCAAGCCGACGAUCCAUAGCUGGUUUGAGAGGAUGAUCAGCCACACUGGGACUGAGACCCGGCCCAGACUCCUACGGGAGGCAGCAGUGGGGAAUCUUAGACAAUGGAGGCAACCCUGAUCUAGCCAUGCCGCGUGAGUGAUGAAGGCCUUAGGGUUGUAAAGCUCUUUCAGCUGGGAAGAUAAUGACGGUACCAGCAGAAGAAGCCCCGGCUAACUCCGUG
rnacentral:rRNA from 1 species